UGUGGGCAUGCGCGCAUGAGUGCGCACGCAUGUUCCCUUGCUUGCUUGCUUGUUUGCUUGCUUGUUUGCAUGUGUGUUCAAAGCAAAGGAUUGAGUUUGCUGCUGACUGGGUAAAAUCGAGACUCUGGGAGGGGACUGGAAGACUAGAUAAGUGUUCAAUAAUGGGAACUCUUCUCACUGAGGGAUUUGGCUCCUUUUUAGGUGCCAGAGCUGUGCCUCCAGUGAUCCCAAUAAGGAAGGAAGAUGCAGAAACUCCUGGGAGUGUGUUUGGUGACUCUGUGGCUUCAGUUGGCCAGGGUGAACAGCCAACAAGAAGAAGAUAGUCCUCGGAUCCUGAGUGUCCAGGAGGAUGAAAAUGCCACCAUGAACUGCAGUUAUAAAACUAGUACUACCACUCUGCAGUGGUAUAGACAGGAUUCGGGUAAAGGUCCUGCUUUGGUGAUCUUAAUACGUUCAAAUGAGAAAGAAAAACACAGUGGAAGACUAACAGCCACCCUGGACACCUCCUCCCAAAGAAGCGUCCUGUCCAUCACGGCUUCCCAGGCUGCAGACGCAGCCACUUACUUCUGUGCUACAGAUGCACAGUGAUCAGCAGGCACCUGCAGCCCUAACGCAACCCUGCCAGGGCUGCUUCCCAGAAGCCCUGACCAUGGGUGGACUUGGUGGUUUCACAUCCUCCAUGCAGUGGGAAGAAAGUCCGUUCAGAUUUGUGGGGGUUUUUUGAAGCAUUUUGGAAUAGUCAUGAGAUAUGUAAAGGGAACAGCAAUGCCAGGCUCACCUCUGCCCAUCUUGGCUCAUCCUCAGUGUAGGUGCCUUCUCCAGCCUCACUUGACUUGAAGGAU